GCAGUCGCCGCGGGAAUACGGAGGGUGCAAGCGUUAAUCGGAAUUACUGGGCGUAAAGCGCACGCAGGCGGUCUGACAAGUCAGAUGUGAAAUCCCCGGGCUUAACCUGGGAACUGCAUUUGAAACUGUCAGGCUGGAGUCUUGUAGAGGGGGGUAGAAUUCCAGGUGUAGCGGUGAAAUGCGUAGAGAUCUGGAGGAAUACCGGUGGCGAAGGCGGCCCCCUGGACAAAGACUGACGCUCAGGUGCGAAAGCGUGGGGAGCAAACAGGAUUAGAUACCCGCGUAGUCCCUGUCUCUUAUAC
rnacentral:rRNA from 1 species